rnacentral:tRNA from 1 species
CCGGGUGUGGCACAGUUUGGUAGCGCGCUAGAAUGGGGUUCUAGAGGCCGUGGGUUCGAAUCCCGCCACUCGGACCA